AGUUAGCUUAGAAUAUACUCGGCCUGCGCGCCACGUAGGCUUUGUAAUUUCUAGGGUCAACAGUACUAUAAGUUGGAAAUGAUACGUAUGAAUAGAUUAAAGAUGCGUAGUAGAUUCAGAUGAUUCGACAUGCACCAAGAACUAUAUGUAUGCAUGACUCAACAUUCGACAAGUCGGCAAGUUACACAUAGUUGUGUAUGCAACAUAAAUUUCUCUAUUAAGGCUAAUUGACAAAAUGAAUUUGGUUUUCAAUUCGGUCCAACCACCAUGUGCUAUGGAGCUCACUAAAUUUAUAGGUAAUAGAUUCAUUUUAGAAAGUCCAUUCAAUUUGUGGACUAAAUUGAGAUUUAGCUUCCAGGUCAAUCAAUCAAGGUAUUAUUCUUGAAAAUCCUUGAGCUGUGAACUAAAUGAUGGAACCUAAGUAUUCCUUGGUGCGUUCACUUUUUGUUAGGGUUCUUGGUCAUUUAAUGUCACAAUUAAAUGACAUUUAUAUCUCCCUCAUAUAUUCUAGAUCAACAACUCAAUUUGCUGACAUGCAUGUUAGGCCAUUUCUAAUAUAUUAAAAAAUUUAGACUCAAAUCUUAUUUAGUUUAACCGUUUAAAUAUACAAGUUCAAACAUUUUCAAUGCUACAAGGCCGGUACUACGGACAAUCAGAUAAGGCGACUGCUUAGGACCUUCGAUCUCCCGCGGGGCUGUACGUAUAACAUAAAUAAAUAAAAAAAUUAGCCAUAUUUAACAAACAAGUAGUGGUUGACAAAAAAAAAAAAAAAAAAAACAAGUAGUUGGGGUGGUGGAAAUAAAGUGUGUAAUAUUUCUUGAUGUUUGUAGUUUGAAACCCAGG
rnacentral:lncRNA from 1 species